CCUACGGGGUGCUGCAGUGGGGAAUAUUGGACAAUGGGCGAAAGCCUGAUCCAGCCAUGCCGCGUGUGUGAAGAAGGCCUUCGGGUUGUAAAGCACUUUCAGUGGGGAAGAAAGCCUUGGGGCUAAUACCCUCGAGGAAGGACAUCACCCACAGAAGAAGCACCGGCUAACUCCGUGCCAGCAGCCGCGGUAAUACGGAGGGUGCGAGCGUUAAUCGGAAUUACUGGGCGUAAAGCGCGCGUAGGCGGUCUAAUAAGCCGGUUGUGAAAGCCCCGGGCUCAACCUGGGAACGGCAUCCGGAACUGUCAGGCUAGAGUGCAGGAGAGGAAGGUAGAAUUCCCGGUGUAGCGGUGAAAUGCGUAGAGAUCGGGAGGAAUACCAGUGGCGAAGGCGGCCUUCUGGACUGACACUGACGCUGAGGUGCGAAAGCGUGGGUAGCAAACAGGAUUAGAUACCCUAGUAGU
rnacentral:rRNA from 1 species